UAGUAGUACGGAAUAAUUGUUGGAAACGGCAACUAAUACCGUAUACGCCCUACGGGGGAAAAAUUUAUUGCUAUUAGAUGAGCCUAUAUUAGAUUAGCUAGUUGGUGGAGUAAUAGCCUACCAAGGCAAUGAUCUAUAGCUGAUCUGAGAGGAUGAUCAGCCACACUGGAACUGAGAUACGGUCCAGACUCCUACGGGAGGCAGCAGUGGGGAAUAUUGGACAAUGGGCGAAAGCCUGAUCCAGCCAUGCCGCAUGAGUGAAGAAGGCCUUUGGGUUGUAAAGCUCUUUUAGUGAGGAAGAUAAUGACGGUACUCACAGAAGAAGUCCUGGCUAACUCCGUGCCAGCAGCCGCGGUAAUACGGAGAGGGCUAGCGUUAUUCGGAAUUAUUGGGCGUAAAGGGCGCAUAGGCUGAUUAAUAAGUUAAAAGUGAAAUCCCGAGGCUUAACCUUGGAAUUGCUUUUAAAACUAUUAAUCUAGAGAUUGAAAGAGGAUAGAGGAAUUCCUGAUGUAGAGGUAAAAUUCGUAAAUAUUAGGAGGAACACCAGUGGCGAAGGCGUCUAUCUGGUUCAAAUCUGACGCUGAAGCGCGAAGGCGUGGAGAGCAAACAGGAUUAGAUACCCUGGUAGUCCACGCUGUAAAC
rnacentral:rRNA from 1 species